GGCGGGCCCCCCCGCAUCGCGGAAUGGUGAAUCUGGUCAGGUCCGGAAGGAAGCAGCCACAGCCAGUCACCGCGAGUGCCGGGGUUCCGGCUCGCCCCC
rnacentral:SRP_RNA from 1 species